CCCUUUCCAUGGCUGCUCCUCUGUUCAGCAUGCUGCAGAGGACAUGCAAGGAGAGCCAGCCUCAAACGGUUAGUGUUGCUGUCCUCAUUCUCCUUGUCCAGCCCCUCUUUCUUAUCUCCACAGCAGAGGAUAGAUUUCCCUAAUGAGCCCACACUGGCCUCAUGUUGCCUGAUCUGAUAGCAGUCACUCAGCAUCCCUGCAGUCUUGCUGCUCUUUGCUGAAGUCAGCUUUCUGCUCCUGCUGCCAGGCUGGGAGAGUGCUGGUGUUUACUCACCCCUUAAUCUCUGCUGCAGCCUGAGGAGCUCCCAGGAUGCGCAGGGUUUGGAGACUCAGAGACCUGCCUUGGAUGUAGAAGAACCUGGUGGCACCAGCAGAGAUGCCAUCCAAUCAACACUGCUUCUCUCUGCCUCCCAUCAGCCAUCAGCUUGCACUGAGCAUCUUUCCACUCUCCUUACAAGAGGCAUCUUCCUCCAAUGCAGUGGGAGAAAUUCAGACCCUAAAUAAGGCUGGUAUCUGCAGAAUUGAAAGGGGAGGAUUGGGAAUAGCAUGCCAUGGGGUCUUCAUGAAUGCUGUAGAACAAGAAGUGGCUGAUAUGUGCUGUAUCCGCUUGCACGCACCUGCACUGGCACACAAAGGGAUGAGGCUGCUGCUCUGUGAGUGUAAGGCAGGCACAUUUUAGCCUGUAAACCAGCAAUGACCUCCAGCACAUUGCCAGUAUUGAUGUUCCUCACCUCAACUCCAGGCACAGCUUGGUCUGUAUCCAUUGUCAUUCCCCUCUGUGGCCUGUGCUGCCACUGAGCAUGGUGGGGAAUUCAGCCAGCACUUGGCCUGGGUUUCCUAUGGGAUACAUGCAUCAGAGAGCGUGUCUAGGCCUCCUGCCAUCCGAGCUUAUAGAUUACCCAUGGAUAUUGAUGUGACUCCUCAUGGCAUCUCCCAUUUCCUGUAUGAGGGAGCACCUGUUUCCAUCCCGGUUUCUGGCAGGCAUUGCUUUAUCCUGCCUUGCUGCACAGGACUCAGUGCCACACAGAUGCUAAUGGGCACCAUGGGAAGCUGCAAACACACUUCUUGACUGGCAAACCCCAGUCCUUUGCUAUAGGAGAAGCUGCUCUAGACAAGACUAAUUGGAGAAGGUUUCUUGAACUUGGAUCAUGACAACAGUGCAUUGGCUUUUACGCUGCUUCUGCCAUCACAAAGCACUUUGCAAAGGAAAUCAGUGCAUUUCCCACUGAUGAAUGCAGGAGAGUGACUGCUCCAAGAGCCAUGGGAGAAGUAAGACAUCAUGAUCUUGCAUCUGCUGUGCCCCCAAACUCCUGUCACAGCUUGGUGAGCACUUAUGCUUCUCCCUUUCAGCCUUGAACCUCCCUUGGGUCUGUGUCUGUGCAAUGUCCACUGCCUCCUUGAGCCCACAAAGGCCGGACACCUGCAUGUUGUCUAUAACAUAAACCUAAUAAAUAGAAAUAAAUCUAACUAAAAUA